CUGGGGUAUGGGGACAUGUUCCCUCAGACCUGGCUGGGUAUGAUGGUCGGGGCUCUGUGUGCGAUAGCAGGGGUGCUGACCAUCGCCAUGCCCGUCCCUGUUAUUGUGAACAAU
rfam:Astyanax mexicanus chromosome 6, whole genome shotgun sequence.